CCUACGGGCGGCAGCAGUGAGGAAUAGUGGUCAAUGGCCGGAAGGCUGAACCAGCCAAGUAGCGUGAGGGAAGACUGCCCUAUGGGUUGUAAACCUCUUUUAUGCGGGGAUAAAGGUGGCCACGUGUGGAUGUUUGCAGGUACCGCAUGAAUAAGGACCGGCUAAUUCCGUGCCAGCAGCCGCGGUAAGACGGAAGGUCCGGGCGUUAUCCGGAUUUAUUGGGUUUAAAGGGAGCGUAGGCCGGUCUUUAAGCGUGCCGUGAAAUUUUGUGGCUCAACCAUGAGAGUGCGGCGCGAACUGGCGCCCUUGCGUGCGCGGACGGCAGGCGGCAUUCGUGGUGUAGCGGUGCACUGCUUAGAUAUCACGAAGACCCCCGAUUGCGAAGGCAGCCUGCCGCAGCGUUACUGACGCUGAAGCUCGAAAGCGCGGGUAUCGAACAGGAUUAGAUACCCGUGUAGUC
rnacentral:rRNA from 1 species